GAUGAACGCUGGCGGCGUGCCUAAUACAUGCAAGUCGAACGCGCAGCGAGAGGUGCUUGCACCUUUCAAGCGAGUGGCGAACGGGUGAGUAACACGUAGAUAACCUGCCUCAAGGCUGGGGAUAACAUUUGGAAACAGAUGCUAAUACCGAAUAAAACUUAGUAUCGCCUGAUAUAAAGUUAAAAGGCGCUACGGCGUCACCUAGAGAUGGAUCCGCGGUGCAUUAGUUAGUUGGUGGGGUAAAGGCUUAACAAGACAAUGAUGCAUAGCCGAGUUGAGAGACUGAUCGGCCACAUUGGGACUGAGACACGGCCCAAACUCCUACGGGAGGCUGCAGUAGGGAAUCUUCCACAAUGGGCGCAAGCCUGAUGGAGCAACGCCGCGUGUGUGAUGAAGGCUUUCGGGUCGUAAAGCACUGUUGUAUGGGAAGAAAUGCUAAAAUAGGGAAUGAUUUUAGUUUGACGGUACCAUACCAGAAAGGGACGGCUAAAUACGUGCCAGCCGCCGCCGUAA
rnacentral:rRNA from 1 species